AUUCUAUUGAAGUAGAUCCAAAGGGAAAGUGCUUUUCUCAGAAGAAAGGUUCACUGACUUAUGAUGUUUUCGUGGCAGCGCCGACAGUCAUUGAAACAGGCGGCAUACUCGAAACAGGUCGGUCAUUUGUAAAACCUACCCGGAAGUAAACAGGUCACACAGGCAAGGAUAGUCUGUGUCGUUAUUUACAAGCUGACUUCUUGACGUGGUAUACACAUCCCGCGCAGGUGUGGAGUGUGUAGCAGUUUCUACCUGAGGAUGACCGGUCACCGUCUCCAGCAGACAUGACAGACUGGGAACAAUAUUUUUCUGAUGCUAUUGCAAGGGCAACAUCAACAGGAGAUAAGGAAGAUUUACUACACAUACUGACUGACUGCAUCAACCCAUACGACGUGGUUACUUACUUGACGGACAACCCCAACGCCUUCCAUGAGCUCUGCAAGGUCACCUUCCUGGACGUGCUCAACUGUCUGGUAGAAUAUGGGGUGGAUGUCGACUUGGAGUGGGCUGGGUUCACCCCGCUGCAAGUGGCAGCAGCUUCAGGGGAUGUCGAAGUGGUCGCGUUCCUCCUCUCCAAGGAUGCCAAUUUGUCCAGGGACGUAUGGCAGGAGGCAUCUCCAUUCUACCUGGCGUCUCUAUAUGGACACUACAAGACAGUUGUCCAGCUCACAGAUGCCUUUCCAUCUUAUGUGAAGGACACAGAAAGCAGGAGCAGUUUGUUUUAUGCCGCUUGCAAGGGAGGUAAUCUGUCCAUUGUCCAGUUCUGGUAUCUGCCAGGUAUGGACCUCAACAACCCAGUCCAACUGAUAUCAUCUUUUGAGAACUGUGAGAAUAUGGUGCCACUUUUUGCAGCCUGUCAAGGUAACCACAUGGAUGUCGCCGAGUUCCUCAUAGAUAGUCAAGCCAUCAUCUCAGAAAAUAUCUGUCAGUGUUUUCCAAAGAUGACUGCAGAGCUCAUGAGUAGAUGUUUCAAAGAAGGGAAAGAUCAGACAUUUUCCGCUUCAAUGAGUCACCAACACCUGGGCAGGGUCCACCCACUAUGGUUUGAACCUCACCUCACACAACUGACUGAAGUGGACCUGUCAGAUAACAGACUAAAGGCCUUACCCUGUGAAAUUCCAUGGAGUAUGCCUAACAUAAGGGUGCUGAAUGUUUGUAAGAACAGACUCAAAGACUUUACUGGACCCGACUCAGAUGAUGGCAUAUGUUGGAACCUGGAAACUGUGUACCUGUCCAAUAAUGAACUGGAGGAAGUGUGUGUGGAACUGUUCUGUAUUGGCACUCUGAAAUACCUUGACUUGUCAAAGAACAGACUUGAGUACCUCAUCAAACCAACCCAUGUUCAACCAGAGCUUCAUUGGUCCAGGAAGCACAAACCAUCAUCCCCUGUAGAGUCAGAAGGACCAGAGGCAAAUUUUGGCCUCCCAUGCCUAACCCAGCUGGACAUAUCUCACAACAUGUUGAAGAAAAUUCCAGAUGAACUUCGCUUGAGCAGUGCUUUGACAAACCUCGAUGCCAGUGACAAUGAGCUGUAUGCCUUCAUCUCAGCAUGGAGCUGCCCACUGCACUACCUGAACCUAAGUGACAACUGCCUGGAGCGUUUCCCGGUCAGUGUGGAGGAGUUCUGGAGCGGAUCUCUUGUCACCCUGGACCUCCAAAACAAUAACCUUGAGGAACUUGGAGAGAGCAUUGUUAAACUUAGUGAGUUGCGGAGCUUAGAUGUGUCCAACAACAGGAUUGACCACCUGCCUGACCCGUCCGUGUGGGACUGUCGUUACCUGGAAACCCUCAACUUGGCUAACAACUACCUGGGGACUGCGUACACUCCGGAUGAAAUGAACAAGAAUGCUGUCACAUCACCAAAGACACUGAAGAACUACCUUCGGGGCUGGAGUGGCAUUGAUCAGCCAACUUCCAAACAAGUUGUGUUUCCAGAAAUCCUGUCCUUUAAUCUCAAGUACCUGAUUUUGAGAAACAAUAACCUCAUCCAGGCUCCUGUCAGUGUCAGUCAACUGCAGAACCUUAUGAAGCUGGACCUAAGCCAAAACCCAAUGAUGAAGACUCUCCCACUGGAGUUAGGUCUGUUGAAGCAGUGUCAAGAUUUGUUGUUGGCUGGAAACAAGAUCACCGAUCCGUCCAUACCACCAGAACUUCUCACUGACAAAAAGACAACAGAACUUAUUGACUAUCUGAGGCAACUCCUGAGAAAAAGUGAACCUAACAACCGACUGAAACUAGUUGUUCUUGGACCCCAGGACAAAGGGAAGACAACUCUGCUGAGCCUUCUCCAGGGUACAGCUGGACAGCAGCAUGGAGACAAGAUAAACACAACUGAGUGGAAACUGACAGCCAAGGGAGUCUACCAGAUGUUGCUGCCAUCAAGUAAACCAGACAUCAAGUUCAAUGUGUGGGAGUUACCAGGCAACCCUGACCUAACCAUCAUCCAUCAGUGCUUCCUCACCCAGAAUGCUUUGUACUUGCUGGUAUUUGACUUGCGGAAAGACUAUCAGCAUCUGCAGGAAUGGCUCUGUCAGAUUCAGGCUAAUGCACACAAAGCUACUGUCCUCUUGGUUGGUACUUUCUAUGACAAACUUGACCCUGUGACCAGAAACAUAAAAGUUACGGAUCUUGCUAAAAAAAUAUGCAGUACAUUCUCCAGGACUGCAGUAAAAGAACACUAUCCUCUUCUCAGGGAAUUCAAAAUAGUGUCCUGUGCUACCAAGGAAGGUGUGGAUGAACUCAAGAAAAUAAUCUAUGAGACAGGUGUUAAUAUGGCCCAUGCACGGCGAAGUCAUGAGUGCUUAAUUGGAAUGAAGAUUCCACAGUCCUAUCGCUUGUUAGUGGACUUGGUCAGAAAGAAGAGGAAGGAGCUGGAGAAGAUGAAGAUGCCUCCAUAUCUCACAGAAGAAGGUUUUCAGAGUCUGCUGGAUGAACUGCCUUACAAUGACAUCCUGGUGUUGGAUGACACAAGUAAUGCUUUGAAGUACCUGUUGGAGGUUGGAGCUCUGCUUCACUUCAAUGAGCAGCUGCAAGGCCUAAACUUCUUGUACUUCCUUGAUCCAGUCUGGCUGCAGGAACUCCUAGCACUAAUUGCCAUUGAUACAAAAAGAAUAUCAACAACUGCCAAGAUUCCAGUAACACAGCUGUAUCAGCGGUUCAAGGAGAAGAUGUUUCCUGAUGAUCUGUUUCUUCAAUAUGUUCAGCUGCUGAAGCGGUCAGAGAUUGUGGUUGAAACAGAUGAUGGCAAAAACUUGCUGGUUCCAUACAAACUACCCAAGGAGAAGCCAAUGAUGACAGCAGACAUCAGCCAGAGUGAUGGCUGUAAGAAGAUCUACCGCCUGUACAAGCUGACGUACAUUCCUCCCAGACUAUGGAGCAGAUUCAUUAUUCGCUUGCUGAAAGCUACUGAGAGAUUCUCUCAGACUCCUUGGUUUCUGAACACACAGAAGGCAGCAGAAACGUCCAAGAGGCUGUCCAGUGAACUAAAGCAUAGAAGCAGUAGUCGAGGUUUUGUUAUCAAGAACAAGGACAUCACCUACUGGAGAGAAGGGAUCCGGGUGGCAUCACCAGAAGCUGGCUACUUCCUGAUUGAGUCGGUCAACUACCGGAAACCACCCCCAGAAGACCUCGGAGUUGGCAUCCUCAUCACCAUUGUGGCCCCUAGCAGCCGCGGUCUGUCAGCAAUGGGUAUCAUCGUGGAUGAGUUGGAUGAUAUACUGAGGGACUAUUUCCCAGGUUUUCAAGAUUUCUUGGAUGAACUUCCCAGUGUGUUUACAGUCUGCCCACACUGUUAUGACCCAGUGAAGGAUGAUGCUGGCAUUGUGGUCAGCAUGACCCAUUUUGAUAUCCAGACAUGUGCUCUGACUACUCUCAAUCAAGGUGAAAUUAUCUGUCCUCGAGGAAAAAGAGUUCAAUUGGAGGAUCUUGUCCCUGAGAUGUUCUUGAAGGAACUACCAAAGAAAUUCUUCCUGGAUAAUUCCCUGAUGAACAUAAGUGAUAAGUCCCUGGGAACUGGUGCAGCAGGGGCUGUGUUUCGGGGCCGGUAUAAGGACACUGAUGUUGCAAUCAAGAUGUUCCACUGUUCCAUUGCUGCAAAGAGCCCACAGAGUAGUCUAGACAGUGGCUCUGCCAGCAUGUCCACACAAGGGAGCCAGGAUGCUGGCAUCUAUGGAAAUGUUGCACAGGAGAGGAGUUCAGUAGAAGAAGCAAAUAGUUUGAAGGCAUACAAGGCUUUUUCUGAGUUCCGGAAAGAAGUUGCAGUUUUGAGCAAGCUUCAACAUCCAUGCAUCGUGUCGUUUUUAGGCCUGUCCUUACAGCCUUACUUGUACAUCACUAUGGAACUUGCUCAGCUUGGCUCCCUCAGAAAUGUCCUUGACAUGGAGGUAGCAAAGCUACACUUCAACAAGUUCCAAGACAAAAACAAAACAUACUCUUCAAUUUUUAGUAAGGAUAUCACAUACAAGAUCAUCUAUCAGGUGGCCAAAGGCCUGGAGUAUCUCCAUCAGCACAGCAUCACCUACCGGGACCUGAAAUCUGACAAUGUACUGAUCUGUUCUCUUGAUGUUGCUGACACACACAAUGUCAAACUAUCUGACUAUGGCAUCUCCAAGUUUGCCACAUCACAAGGACUCAGCGGGUUUGUGGGCACACCAGGGUACAUGGCACCGGAAAUCAUGAACAAACAAAUAUAUACUGAGAAGGUUGACAUCUUCUCCUUCUCCAUGGUCAUGUACGAAAUAUUGAGUGGACGACUUCCCUAUGACGAGUGCGUCAACCUUUCACAGAUCAUACAUGCAGUUAUCAAGGACAGGAAGAGGCCAGACAUAAAAAAUUUCAACAUUGUGUCCCAUUUCCCUUACCUGGAGUAUCUGAUGUCUGAAUGCUGGAACCAUGACGCCAGCCAGCGGCCAUCAGCAAGGGAGAUCACUGCGUUCAUGCGGCAGCAUCAGUUUGUGGGGCAGUGUGACCAUCUCACACAGGCCGGACCUGGUGCCAAGUUCAGAGAUGUCACCUGCACAGCAGUCACCUCAGAGACCCGCUCUGCUGACACAAAGACCAAACUGUGGGUAUGGGAGGCGGCAGGAGAGGAACAAGUUCGGUGCUACUCUAUCUUCAAUCUGGACACAUCCAGUUUCCAUGUAGCCCGCAAGGAGUGCCCAGGAGCUGAUGUCCGCUGCAUGAUUAAAGCUGGGAGGUCAAUGUUUGUUGGAACUGAGGCAUCUGUGAUAGAACUGUUUGGUUGUGGGAGCAUCGGUGUUCCAAAGUGUCAGGAAAAAUUCUCACUUGCUGCUAUACCAACAUCAAUGAUCUUUCACAAAAUGAGUGAUAAUGGAGAGGAGAGUAUAGGUCACGUCUUUGUGGGACUUGACAAUGGAUCUGUUGUCAUCUACUCACAUCAGCCCAACAUGAGGAAAGCCAGCAAGACAUGGAGACUAGUGAAGACUUUAACACUAUCAGUUGACCAGUCAGUAUGUAGUAUGACUUUGGUCAACCAGGGCAGAGAACUGUGGGUAGCUUGUGGACACAUGGUGGUGAUUGUUAGCACCCAGACACUUCUCAAAGAGGAAGAGAUUGACAUAAAGCAAGAGUGUAUGGCAAAUAAACUAGCAAAGCAUCCUGUUAUUCAGCAACUAGUUUCUAAUGAAAACCAGGUCUGGUGCUCUUUCAGAAAGUCCUCAAAGAUUCUUGAGUAUGAUGCGGAACUGAGACAGCUGUUGUUUUGUCUGGAUGUGAGGAACAGUGAUGUCAAGUAUAAACACUUUGCCAGUUCCACAGACAGUGAAAGUGACACAGAGUCUGAUUUGGGCUCUGAUGAUGAUGAAUUUCAUGACACUAACUUGGCAGCAAAAUCGUCCAAUUUAAGUACUUCCUGUCCAUCAGCAUCUUUGGUCGACUUGAGACCAGCUGCCCCAACGCCAGGUGCAAGUGAACUAACAAGGCCUAGCCAGAAUGUGUAUGAUGAAGUGGAUCUAGAACAGCCUGUCACAACUAAGCAUAGAUCCUUUGAGCCACAUGACUAUAUAACAUUGAUACCUGACAGCCAUGUAGUGGAUGAAGCCAGUGAUGAUGAUGACACCAACUUGUAUGAAUACAUUGAGUCACCAGGAGUAGUAACUGACAAAUCAAGGAUUCUCUCCUCUGCAACACCUAGAAAAGUGACACCAUCAAAGUCACCUAAUGUACCACCCAGGCACUCAGCAUUGCCUAACUCUGAUUUAGGUAAUAAGCCACUCAGUGAUUCAGUUCCAGUUAGGCCACCCAGGAAUAAGAAAACAACUACUUUGAUAAAAGCAGAUCCACCUCAGAGCAGUGAGACAGAUCCUCCCCCUCGUCCCCGCGGACCACGUUCGGUGUCAAUGCUAGCAGGGGAGACUUCACCUCCCCCCAGACCACCCAGACUAUCCAGAUCAUUACAGGAGACCGUGCCACCUGUGCCACCACCAAGGAAAUCUAUAUCCACUGAGCACAUCAACAACAAAGCCAGUGACAAAGGUGAGGGAUCUAAGUGUAAUAAGGAUAUGUCAGGUCACGACAACCCACCGCCAGUUCCACCACGCAGACUGACUCUGAUAGUGCCCUGUCCACCUGAUAUACCAACAAGAUCAGCAUCUAGAUCCCCACGACAAUCACACAAGCUGGACCCACAUUCAAAUGUAUCAUCUGCCAUGCCCCCAACUAUACCACCAAGAAGCCCAACUGCUAAGAAAACAGGUGCUUCUUCUCCCUGCCUUCAACAUCAUGACAUUGGGCAUGGUGAAGUUUCACCCAGUUUAUCCACUAAAUACAACACAAUACCAGCAAACUUUAAGUCCCGGAAACCACCUGUGACACUUGUAUCAUCCAUGCAGGUUGGUCAUGAUACACUAUGGGUGGGAACAAGCAAUGGCAAGAUAUUUAUUAUUGGUAUCAAUGAAAACCUACCUAAUAACCGAAGACCCAAGCUGUCAGUACUUGAGAAUGCAUCAACCCCAAGGCUGGAGGAAGGACAGAUUAAAAGAGGACCUGUAUAUAUGAUGACAACAGCAGGUAAUAUGGUUGUGUCCAGUGUUCGGGUGAAUCCCAAGCGAGAGUCUCUGCAAACUGUGCUGACUGUGUGGGAGACAAUGGGAAGAAAAAGGCUGGAUGAUAUCACCAAUUUUUGGAAAAGCAUCUCCAACGAGGAGAGGGAGUUGACACAGAAAGACAGUCUUGCUUCGUAGGUGCCUCCUGUUUCACAGAAGAUAGGCUAAGUUAUGAUACUAAUUUUUGUCCCCGCUAUUGGGUCUGCUUUUAGAUGCCAAGAACACUUUUGUAGCAUUAAUGGUAAGAGAUGGGUUCAUAACUUGAUAUGUUUCAGGGCAGUAGUGAACGAUGUUGCCCAUAUUUAGUUUGUACACAUCUUUCAUAAGGGUAGGAUGUAUUGGAUAUGGAGCGAAGUCAGUAUUAAUAUCAAUAUCAUGGCAAAUUGUCACUCACCAACCAGCAUUGAGACCUGUGUUAAAGUUUUACAGAUAUGUGAGUAUUAUCAGGUUUUGUCAUAAUCCUCUUGUUUACCUAUCAUUAACUGUACUUGAUGUGUCCCUGCCCAUACCAAGUUUAUAGUUUAUAGUAGUUCUCAUGAUGAUAUGGUUGCCUUGAUAGCCAUGAUCAGUGUGUACAAUUCAGUCAUAUACAUGUAGAUACAGUGGAAGCCCUCUAAACCGGCAUUCGUUAGGACCGGCGAAAAGUGCCGGUAUAGAUGGCGUGCUGGUUUAGAGAACUUUUCUGUGUGCCGUAAAACUUGUUGACAUUUAAUUCUGAAGCAAACUGAAUAGAUUUCUCUUUCAAAAUAGGGCCAGAAAUGGGCAUGUGUUUACAGCGGGCAAUCAAAAAACAAUCAUGCGUCAGUGUGUUAAUUUUGUCAAAUUUACUGUUUUCAUUCACACGUUGUUGUUUUUUUUAUUGAUGUUUUGUUUGAAUUUAGUUUCAUACACUUGACGCUUUUUCAAAAUGUCUGAAACUGUUUGCCUGCCAAUUUGGUUCUUAAGUGCAAGAUCUUUUUGAGUAGGCUGAGGAAUUGCAUCAAAAUCUUUUAUCAGUGAGCGACUGAUAAAUUGUGACCCGACAAUUAAUUUAUAAUACAAGUGACACGUGUCACUCACCAAUUUACCUCGCCUACUUAGGCUUUUAUAGUCCUUAUCCAUACUCCUUUUAUCAGGCAACAUCAAUGAGCUUAAUGCUGAUGGUAAUCCACUGUGUUGUCAAUACAUGUUCAGCCAAUCAGCCAAUCAACAGGAGAGCCGAGAUACUGGAUGCCGAUUUAGAGAGCAUUAAUUGCUGUCCAAACAGUCAAUUGGGCGGUCUUUAUUGUGCCGAAAUACGGAAUAGACUGAAGCCGGACUAGAGGGCGUGUAAAUUAUCAUAAAUGAACUAGCUUCCUCCAGGACCAAAUUCUCGUGCUGAUAUUGAGUGCAUGCCAGAUUGGAGGGCUGCCGGUUUAGAGGGCUUCCACUGUUUAUGUUGUAGUUCAGUUACAGUACAGGGUCCCGAUCCACAAAGCAUUCUUAACAUUGCAACCUGUUGUAACUCUAUUAUUUUUCGUAGGCUUAUGAAUGUCAUAGCACUGCAAACGUGUUGUGUAUCGGGACCCUUGUACAUACAUUUUCUUUCAUAUGAAAGCAUGUCACAGAGACAAACCAAGAAUGCCAGACUUAGUUAAUACUGCUGAAACAUGCAAUGUACUGGUAACAUGUAAACCCUUCACAUGUCACAAUAGUGACAGGUAGCAUUUUCAAGUCAUUGCAAGCCUUACAUCACACAAGAAGUGGUUUUUCUGAUGUACCAUUGCUAAAUCUAUUUUGUCAUCACGGAGAAUUCCGCUGCAUAUGCAUUAUAAUUUCUUGGAUAUCUUUUCCCAUAUAUGCUGCUCUUGUCCUGUUGUGACAGCUUGGCAGGCAUUGCUUUGUGAUGAGCCAGAUAUGAUGGCGCCACAGAUGAGGUUGUCAUCAGAACUGGGACAGUUGUUAUUGUUUGGAUCAGUUGUAUGUUAUGAUCUCCAUGAUGGUUACAUUUUCUUACAUUUAUCAUUUAUAAUGUGAAAUAUAUUGGAAGAAUCCCUCCCCAGUACCAAAGUUAAUAAUCUAUCCUCGGGCGAUUAUUGUCAUGUCAGCAGGUUCUGUUUCCUGUGAUGCUGUUGGGUUAGUUGAGGACGUAUAGUACCUGGACCCUAGCUACUCUAAGGUGACAUUGUUCUGGUGUGUCUGGAAUAUAUCAUCAAUAUUAUAACAAACAACACAAAACAUUACUUUAUAUAUUUUAUUGAGUCAAACCAAGUUUGUAGCAUAAUGAGGGACAUGAUUUUUCUGUGUGUUAAUCGCACAACCCCAUGGGUUCUGUUUCAGCACUUGUGUUGAUCUAUAUAUUUCUCAAAUGAUUUUACCAUUCCAUAUAUAUCUAUGCAUGUAGCCAUAUACAUGUUGAAAUAUAAUGAGGGUAUUUUGUGUAUUAACAGAAGUACAAAGUUUGUUUUCCAUAUUUUGGUAGCCAUGUUUGAUCUUUGUACUUACAUUCCUGUUUUAACUCUAGUGAUACUGAUUAUAUGGACAUUAAUAUGUCUGUGAUAUGUAACGGCAUGAUGACAGGGUUCCUGGUUUUAGACAAAGUCUUGAGGAUGGAGUGCAGGGAAAAUGUUGCCAUGUUAUGAGUAUAUGUAAUUUUGUAAAAUUGUCAUGAUGUGAGUGAUGCUUUACUUGAUGUAGACAAUUAUGUUCCAACCCAGUGUUAUAAUAUAUGCUAUGGGACAGACUCUGUCAAGGGGAAGGUGAUUGACAAGUAUGGGAGGGGAGGUCUGUAUGUGAGAGACUAGGACAGACCCUGUCUAGGGGAAGGUGAUUGAGAGGUAUGGCAGGGGAGGUCUGUAUGUGAGAGACUAGGACAGACCCUGUC
rnacentral:misc_RNA from 1 species